UACGUAGGGGGCAAGCGUUGUCCGGAUUUAUUGGGCGUAAAGAGCGUGUAGGCGGCCAGGUAGGUCUGCUGUGAAAACUCGAGGCUUAACCUCGAGCUUUCGGCUGAAACCAUCUGGCUAGAGUCCGGAAGAGGAGAAUGGAAUUCCCGGUGUAGCGGUGAAAUGCGCAGAUAUCGGGAAGAACACCCGUGGCGAAGGCGGUUCUCUGGGACGGUACUGACGCUGAGACGCGAAAGCGUGGGGAGCGAACAGG
rnacentral:rRNA from 1 species